ACUUCCUCCCUCAGCUGGUAUGUGGCAGGGAGGGGAGGGUCGGGGAGGGGACAGCAUCUAAAAAUAGCAGGGCCUAGACUGGUGGAAGAUGCCCAAAGAGCUGCUUCUUGGGCCAGGGAGGAGCCGGCUUCCCAUGAAACUGACAUCGGCUGUGACCCCCACAAGGCCUUGGAUUAGGCUAGGGAGGGAGAUGGCCAAGACCUCCUCUACCCCCACUUCCCAGACUCAGAGGCCCCUUGAAGGCUGAGACUCAGGAGCAGCCCCAGGAGGGGUAGGAGCUUGGAGAGAGGAAGCCUCCAGCAGACAGUACAUUUUCAUUUCCCUGUGCAUACACAGAGAUGCACGCAGAGAUAUGUAGAAAGACACACAGAGAGAGACACACAGAGACAUGCAGAGACACACACUCAGACACAUGCAGAGAGACAUGCACACAGGACACAGGCACACGCCCUCACCCAGCCUGGCUUCAUGAGUCAUCUCCCUCAUACCAGGACUCAUCUCCCUGGUCAGCAGGGUAGAUUGAAGACCCACUGUGUGCUUGAGCCACACCCUGGAGGACAAGGAGGCCAUGCUCAUGAUCGUCCCUGGCCUGGGGUACUCAACAUCGUAAGAGGCCACUCAGGGUCUUGCUCUGUCGCCCAGGCUGGAGUGGAGUGGCGUGAUCUGGGCUCACUGCAGCCUUGACCUCCUGGGCUCAAGAGAUCUUCCCACCUCGGCCUCCCAAAGUGCUGAUGAGUUAUCUGAAGCUCAGAGAGGUUACUCAGUUCUUGUUCCAACCCGCACGGGACCACACUCCAGGGGCUGACUUGCAGCUGCUCUCCAAACCCAGCAAGGCAGAUGUGCCCCUGCGCGUGCGAUGCCCACGUGGGGCAGCCCAGGUGUGUCUGCGGGUUGGCACCAGCUCCUUGUGUCUGUCAGAGCAGUGCGGGGGUGGUGCAACAGGAGCGGAACCCAGCGCCCGUGGCCGGGGGGAGGUAAUGAGCCAGGGCGCCUGGGCCCCAGGGGGCUUGGGCACGCGGGCCCACCCGUGUGCUCAGGCCCUGGGUGCCCUCCCAAACCCAACCACAACUGGGGAAGCUGAGGGCGGGACUAAUGCUGGAGGCUGGGCCCGCCGGCCCCGGGCUCCCACCCCGUCGGUCCGGGGCACGUUGCCAGAGAUUGCCCCAUCUGGCUGCAUCCGCUUUCGCAGUCCUGCACGUUGCGCGCACAGCGUGCCGGCCUGAGCUGGGUCGCUUCUCCCCGGUGCCCUGGUCCCCCGCCCGCGGCCCCGGCCCGGCUGCCUUCCCGCCCUCUCCCCUGGCUGAGACCCGGGCCAGACAGAAUCCCCAGCGGCCCAUUACUCCUCCGGGCUGGUCCCAGACACCUUUGAUGGCUGCCCUUUGCCCCGUCUGGUCUGAGCAGACAAACGAGGGAAAUUGAGUAAGCCAGCUCUGCAAGACAGGAAACUCCUGGCCGCUUUGUUACUCAUGAUUUUCAGCAACUUGAGGAGUUGGGGGCAGGGGAGGGGAGUCCUAGGGAAAUUUCUGGAGUUCAAGGAGAUUGGGAGCGCCCUUGGGGCAGGUCUACCUCCCAGGCCAGGUACUGUAAUUGGCACUAGUAGUAAUAGCUCCACAAAUUCGUGUUAACAUGCAUUUUCAAGAACGCAAUUUAUUUAAUUUUCAAGCCUUCAGUCCCAGCUACUUGGGAGGCUGAGGCAGGAGGACCCCUUGAGCCCAGGAGGUCAAGGCUGCAGUGAGCUAAGAUCUCACCACUGUACUCCAGCCUGGGUGACAUAGUGCAAGUGGUCUAAAAAAAAAGCAUUUUCUCACUCAACUGCUUUGAGUGAGUGCCAGAAAGAAUUCCCAAGUGAAAGGGGGCAGGUUUAGGGCUGGAGCUGAAGGCUGGCAUUUGGGGCUGGAGUUUCUGCAUUUGGCCUUGGUUUGCCAUUUCACUUGGACAGAUCUCUUGGGCUGCGUUUCUGUGGGGAAUCAGUAAUAAGGCAACCUGUCUGGCUCUAAGGCUCAGAGGCAUGGGGCAGGCUUUGAAUUCUCAGCAAGCAGGAGAAAGAGCCUUUCUUUUGAAGCAGACAUUUCCUCUUGAACAUUAAUAUUCUGGGCUUUUCCAGGCUAGAGCCUCAGAACUGCUGUUUCAAAACUAAGUGACAUGAGUAGCCCCCUGUUGCUUACAGAAUCAAGUCCAAAUCUCUUGGCUUGACAUUUGGAGUUUUCUCACAUUGAUUCUGCCCUGCCAGAAUGGCUUCCCCCAACUACACCCCUACCCUGUCAUUAGGAAGAGCAUCAGACUUCCCCACACACCCCACACAAUGUUCAGACUUCUAUGCCCUCACUUAUGCUGUUCCCUCUGCCCAGAAGCCUUUUCCUACACUCUUCAAAUGAUUGGCUCCUUCUCAUAUUGAUCCCCACAUAAAUGUUACUUGAGUAGAGGUCCUGUAGAGGUCCCCUCUCAGAGCUCCCUGUUUUUUCUCUUUAGCUCUUAGUGCAGUUCAGAAUUUGAAGUUUCUUUCUCGACCAGGCUGAAAGGUCAGUGAUGGAGAGAUCAGGUCUGUUUUCCUCAUCUCUGCAUACCCAGGACUUACCAAGGUUCCUGGCACGUACUAAGAGAUCAAUACAUAUAUAUGGAAAGGGGCUGGGCACGGUGGCUCAUGCCUGUAAUUCCAGCACUUCGGGAGGCCAAAGUGGGCAGAUCUCGAGGUCAGGAGAUCAAGACCAUCAUGGCCAACAUGGUGAAACCCUGUCUCUACGAAAAUACAAAAAAUUAGCCAGGUGUGGUGAUGCGUUCUUGUCAUCCCAGCUACUCAGGAGGCUGAGGCAGGAGACUUGCUUGAACCCGGGCGGAGGAGGUUGCAGUGAGCUGAGAUCAUGCCACUGCACUCCAGCUUGGUGACAGAGCAAGAGUCUCUGUCUCAAAAAUAAAUAAAUAAAAUAAUAAUGAUGAUAACAAUAAAAUAAAUAAGUAAAUAAUCCGGGCGUAGAUGGCUCAUGCCUGUAAUCCAAGAACUUUGGGAGGCCAAGGCGGGCGGAGCACUUGAGUUCACUGGCCAACAUGGCAAAAACCCACCUCUACUGAAAAUAUAAAAAUUAGCCAAGUGGUGGCACAUGCCUGUAAUCUCAGUUACUCAGCAGGCUGAGACAGAAUUGCUUACACCUGGGAGGCAGAGGUUGCAGUGAGCAAAGAUCACACCACUGCACUCCAGCCUGGGCAACAAGAGCGAGACUCUGACUCAAAAAAUAAAUAAAUAAAAAAAAAUAAAUACAUAUGGAAAGGAAGAAAGAAUGAAUGAUUAGCAAAAACAUGGGAACAUUUUCUAAAAAGAUGGGGGGGACGUGCAUGUAUAUAAAUACAUAGAUAUGUCUGCAAACAUAAGAAAAAACCAACCUAAUUCCCCCACCCCCGAAAUGGAAGAUGCAGAUUUCUAUGGUUUAUUGUAUAUUCAAGCCCUGCUUAAAGAUUAUCUCCUCUGUCGGUCUCUGGUCCUGCCCAUCUGAGCAUGCCGAGAGGCACCCUGAAGCCAGGCCUGACGUUCCUUUCUGAGUCUGGUCCUGAUGCUCCUGCCUGAGGCCAGGGAGAGGGACAGAUGGCAGCAGCCCCUCUGGUACUUGGGUUUGUCCACUGGUGCAGGUGAAAGCAGAGCUUGUAAGGACAAUGACAGUGCCAGAUGGACACCAGGCCACCAUCUCCACCCACCAUGUGCCAUCGCUGCAGGUGGCCUUGGGAUAUCAGCAGAGCUUCAAUGUGACAGGAAGCCUCGCCUCCUGCAAGGCUGGGUCCAGCUGGCUCACUUCCGGGUUCAGGACAGAGCCUUGGCUGUGGGAGGCAUACCAGGCAGCUUUUCACUGCCCUCGGGGUGCCUAGGAGUCAAGAAGGGUCAGAGGCAAUCUUUUUUUGUUUUUUGUUUUUUUUUUUAAGAUGGAGUCUCUCUCUGUUGCCCAGGAUGGAGUCCAAUGCCUUCAUGUCUGUUCACUGCAGCCUCCACCUUCUAGGCUUAAGCGAUUCUCCCACCUCAGCCUCCUAAGUAGCUGAGAUUACAGGCCCGCACCACCAUGCCUGGCUAACUUUUGUAUUUUUAGUAGAGACAGGAUUUCAGGUCAACCAGGUUGGCCAGGUUGGUCUCGAACUCCUGACCUCAGAUGAUCUGCCUGCCUUGGCCUCCCAAAGUGCUGGGAUUACAGGGGUGAGCCACUGCUCCUGGCCUGCCAGGGACAACCUAGUGUGAACAAAAGGCCUCUUGCCCAGUCUGUGUCCCACAGCAGCUCCCAUGAGGCCUAGAACAACACAGUUCAGACCAACUGGGCCAGAGGAGAGGAAGGAAGAGUGGCAGAGGGCUCAGGGUCAGAUGUCUGAGUUCUGUUCCCAUGGGCACCUCUCAUUAUGCUGGUUAGGAAGCAGAAGAGACUGCAAACUUUGCCCUCAUCUGAACUAACCCAUCUCACCCUGGUUUCUCUUCCCCUAAUUGUCUUCGAACCUAUUUCCCCACUUGGAAAAUCGGGGGGUCGUGCAGGGGUGGGUCCUCCAUUCUGGAAUCACCCAGUUUCCUGUGGUUUCAGAUCCAUACCCACCAGCUGUGUGACACUGGACAACUGGCUUUGCCCCUGCUCUGCCUCAGUUUCUCCAGAAAAUUAGUUAAUGGGUGGAAAGCGUUUAGAAGAGAUCCUCAUAUACACUGUCUGUUUCCUGUAAUGUCAUCUACUAUCUGUAUGGUUAGGAAAAUAGUAACUCCCUCAUCCGCUGUGCUGAAGAUUCCGUUAGAUCAUGCAUGUAAAGUGCUUGGUGUAAGCUUGGUUCAGUGAUUACUUGUCUUACUAAAGACAACAAAAUGAGGCUACAGAUCUUGGUCCCUGAAAUGCUGAGGGAUUAGCACAGUGGCUGCCAGGGGCUUCCUGGGAAUGGAGCGCAGGCCUUCUGUGUCCUCACUGGUCCGAUGAUGUGACUGAGUGUUGUGUUGCUGAACUGUCUGGUUAGUCAACUGCCUGCUCCCUCAAACACAUUUAAACCAGCUCCCUCUGGACUGGCUUUCCCAACAUACUAUCCUGGCACUGUCACAGGCCUAAAGCACUGGGCAAAGUGUCAGGCCUGCUGCAAAAUACAGUUGGAACUUUAUCUGACCCUUGGCUGCUGUCCCAAGCAGAAAUACAUUGGCAAGAACUUGCAGCCCAGCUGAAGCAAGCCUGGGAGCUGGAGGAGGAAGGCGGCCUGGGAUCGCCAACCACACUCUCCUCCAACGCCCUCCAUCCUUGUGGCCCCCCUUUUUAUUUGUACAGUGUUACUAAUUAAUGCCAUUCCUAGUUAUGAAUCGGUUUUACAAACCUAGUGCUUAAUCCCGAGCCCUGGAUUUGUAGAGAAGAGGACUAUUCCCCAAAAACUCAGGGAAAUACACUGCAGAGAUUUCCUCUUUCUUCCCUCAGUGUCAUUUGGAGCCGACUUUCUGGAGACCAGGACAAUCUUUGCACAGUGGUGCUGUCCGGAACUCCCCCAAAAGAGCCCAUGACAAUGGCAGCAGGGACAGCCAUGCCAGAUUGGAACUUGGCCAACUAUGGAGGGGGAAGUUCUCAGCCUGGGUGUCUCCACCCCAAACCAAGGCCAAGGGCAAGGGCAAGGGCAAACCUCCUUUCCCUCCCUGCUCCCUUUGGCAACUUCUGCAGGGAGGUCCCAGGCAAGUCUAGGAGGUCUCAGGCCAGUCUUAACAGGUCUUCCUGCAGGUACUCCUGGAAAGCCAUUGUCUUAGAUUAAAAGGAAUUCCAGAGACACCCCACCCCAAGCACACAUUUGAGCAUUCGAAAGAGCUUGUGAGUGAAAGGAAAUGAAGGAAAAGAAACACUGUGGCAUGGCCAGAAAGAGUUUUACAUGUUGAGUUGCUUUUUUUUUUUUUUAGAGAGAGUCUUGUUCUGUCACCCAGGCUAGAGUGCAGCAGCGUGAUCUCAGCUUACUGCCACCUCUGCCUCCUAGGUUCAAGCGAUUCUCUUUCCUCAGCCUCCUGAGUAGCUGGAAUUGCAAGCAUGCACCACCAUGACCGGCUAAGUUUUGCAUUUUUAGUAGAGACAGGUUUCAUCAUGUUGGCCAGGCUGGUCUCGAACUCCUGACCUCAGGCGAUCCACCAGCCUUGGCUUUCUUAAGUGCUGGGAUUACAGGCAUGAGCCACUGCACCUGGCCACAUUGCAUUUUCCUUUUUCUUUUUUUUCCCCCUUUUUGCUUCUAGGCCUAUAACUAAAACGUUUUCUUUUUUCUUUUUAAAGACAGGGUCUCACUGGAGUACUGUGGUGUGAUCAGAGCUCACUGCAGGCUUAAGCAAUCAUCCUGCCUCAGCCUUCCUAGUAGCAGAGACUACAGGCAUGUGCCACCACGCCCAGCUUAUUUAUUUAUUUACUGAGACAGGGUCUUGGUCUGUCACCCAGGCUGGAGUGCAGUGGCACAGUCUUGGCUCACAGCAACCUCACUUCCCAGGUUGAAGUGAUCCUCCCGCUUCAGCCUCCCAAGCAGAUGGGAUUACAGGCCCUCACCACUAAACUCAGUUAAUUUUUAAAUCUUUUGUAGAGAUGGGAUCUCCCUAUAUUGCACAAGCUGGUUGAAAACUCCUGAGCUCAAGCGAUCCUCCUGCCAUGGCCUUCCAAAGUGCUGGGAUUACAGAUGUGAGCCACCGUACCUGGCCCUAAAUUGCAUUUUUUGAAGCUUCAAAAUUCCCAUAGCAUAGGUAAUAUUGUCAUGUUUUUAAGCUUGGCUGGGUGUGGUGGCUCACGCCUGUAAUCCUAGCAAUUUGGGAAGUUGGGGCACAUGGGUCACAAGGUCAGGAGAUUGAGACCAUCCUGGCCAGCAUGGUGAAACCCGAUCUCUACUAAAAAUCCAUAAAAAAUUAGCCGGGUGUGAUGGCUCAUGCCUGUAGUCCCUACUUCUGAGGCUGAGGCAGGAGAAUCUCUUGAAUCUGGUAGGCAGAGCUUGCAGUGAGCCUAGAUCACAGCACUGCACUCUAGCCUGGGUGACAGAGCAAGACUGUCUCAAAAAAAAAAAAACAAAAACCUUAAGUUUUACAGAUUUGGAAUUCAUUAGGUUCAAAAUGUUUAAAAAACCAGCCUGGUCAAAUUUGAGUAUAAACUGGAUAUGAGAUGACAUUAUGGAACCAUUGUCAGUUUUCUUACAUGUGAGAAUGGCAAUGUGAUUAAGGAGAGCAGCCUAUCCUAGGAAAUUCAUGUUCAAGUAUGUGACUUUGCAAAUGGCUCACCAGGAAAACUUUAUACAGAUCAAGCAAAUGAGGCAAAAACUUGACCAGGUCAGGGCACAGCGGCUCACACCUGUAAUCCCAGCACUUUGGAAGGCCAAAGAGGGUGCAUCACCUGAGGUCGGCCAACAUGGAGAAACUCCGUAUUUACUAAAAAUACGAAAUUACCCAGUUGUGGUGGUGCAUGGCCUGUAGUCCCGGCUACCUGGAGGCUGAGGCAGGAGAAUCAUUUGAACCUGGGAGGCGGAGGUUAUGGUGAGCCGAGAUCACGCCAUUGCACUUCAGCCUAGGUAACAAGAGCAAAACUGUCUAAAAAAAAAAAAAGAAAAAAAAAAAGAAAAGAAGCACAUUUUGAAACUCUACUAUGAGCAAAGCCCGGAAAUGUCACAAAAUGUGUUUUCCCCUGUCUAUAAUCUGAUACAAGGUCGACACUUUUUGUUCAUUGUGGUUGCUACAAGUUGAAUAGUGUUCCCUCAACACUCAUAUGUUGAAGUCCUAAUCUCCAGUACCUCAGAAUAUAACCUGAUUUGGAAAUAUUUAGACAGGGUCAUUACAGAUGUCAUUACAUUAAAAUGAAGUCAGUAGGGUAGACCUUAACCCAGUGUAACCAGUGUCCUUAUAAAAGGGGAAAAUUUGGACACACACACAUGGACAGGGCCGUGUGAAAAUACAGGCAGAGGCUGAAGGGGUGAUACUUCCACCAGCCAAGUCAUGCCAACGAUGGCCAGGAAGCCUCCAGAGCCAGACCAAAGACAGCUUCUCCCUCCCAGCCCUGGGAAGGAACCAAUCCUGCUGACGCCUUGACCUUGGACCUCUAGCCUCCAGAGCUGCAAGACAACACAUUUCUACUGGUUAAGCCUCCCAGUUUGCAGUCAUUUGUUACAUCAGCCCUAGCAAAUCAAUACAACAGUAUAAUAACGUAUACAUAAAAUAUACAUUUUAAUCAUUCUUUUUUAAGAUGGAGUUUUGCUCUGUCACCAGGCUGGAGUGCAGUGGCAUGAUCUCAGCUCACUGCAACCUCUGCCGCCCAGGUUCAAGUGAUUCUCCUGCCUCAGCCUCCGCAGUAGGCACAUGCUACCACAUCCAGAUAAUUUUUCUUUUUCUUUUUUUUUUGAGACAGAGUCUUACUCUGUCGCCCAGGCUGGUGUUCACUGGCAUGAUCUUGGCUCACGGCAACCUCCGCCUCCUGGGUUCAAGCAAUUCUCCUGCCUCAGCCUCCUGAGUAGCUGGGAUUACAGGCACUCACCACCACACCUGGUUAAUUUUUGUAUUUUUUUGGUAGAGAUGGGGUUUCAUCAUAUUGGUCAGGCUGGUCUUGAACUUUGUGACCCGCCUCAGCCUCCCAAAGUGCUGGGAUUAUAGGCGUGAGCCACCGCACCCGGCCGCCAUUUUAACCAUUCUUAAUUUGUAUUGUUUCCUGACAGGCAUUCACAUUGUUGUGACAUCAUUUUUUUUUUCUCUCUUUUUCACUGGAGCAAAAUCCAGGACCGUGGGAAGCUUAGAAGCCCUAGUUUCAGCUCUGCUUCUGCUGAGCCCAGGAACCUGUUUCAUGUGUGCAAGGAGGAGACAGGGCCGUCGCUGCCCAUGUGUGGAGAACCGCACACCUGCUGAGUGAUUACUGUACUCCAGGACCAUGCUAAGGGCUUUACAUGGCUUAUCUCUUUGAAUAACCACAGUAACUUUAUCAGGGAGGUAUUAUUAGUCCCAUUUUACAGAUGGGGAAAUUAAGUCUCAAAGAGGUUAAUUGAUAUGCUCACUUUUGGCAGGGAUUUGAAUGCCUAAUUAAGGAUCUUAAUUAAACUGCUAAACUGCCUUCUAGAUCUUUUGGCACACAGGCCAGGAGAAAUUACAAAGCAUAAAGUAUUGAUCAGAUUCAAACAGUUUGUGACUGCUCACGUUGCCUGGCUGGCCCCUCUGUCCCUUGCCCCAGAGUUCCAGAUAGGGACUCUGAAGACUCCAAGAAUUCCAGAUUUAUACGUGGCUUUCCAGGUUUUUCUGAAGCUAUAUUCAGGAAGCUGGAAGAUAAAACUUGUUUUAUAUGACAGAUGACUUUUUUCUUCUUUCUUUCCUUCUUUUUUUUGAGACAGAGUUUUGCUCUUGUUGCCCAGGCUGGAGUGCAAUGGCAUGAUCUCACUGCAACCUCCACCUCCGGGGUUCAAAUGAUUCUCCUGCCUCAGCCUCCCAAGUAGCUGGGAUUACAGGCAUGUGCCACCACACCCGGCUAAUUUUGUAUUUUUAGUAGAGAUGGGGUUUCUCCAUGUUUGUCAGGCUGGUUUCAAACUCCCGACCUCAGGUGCUCCUUCUGCCUUAGCCUCCCAAACUGCUGGGAUUACAGGUGUGAGCCACUGUGCCCGGCCAUGAUAGCUGAUUAAGCUUGGUGUAUACCAAAUGUGUACACAUUUUGUAUGAACCUGGUGUGUGGUUCUCCAUUUGUACUCUCACAUGGGACCCCAAUGAUUAGGGGCAACCUAUUUACCAUGGUGCUCUGGAGCCAACAGCUCUCCAGUGGUUCCCAGUGGUGGCUGGAACUUGAAAGUCUCUGCAUGCAGGAAAAGGGGAAAGCCACAGCUGCUCAGACCAGGAGAGGAUCUGCCUCCAGAUUUCCACCAACAGCAGGAAGUAAGGUGGUGCUGCUUAGGGCGAAGUCCCUCCAGGCACUGGCUCUCCGGCAUGGCCUGACUUGGUGCUCCACCCACACCAGCACCUGCUCCUCGAGGACAGCCAGGGUGCUCUCCCGCUCAGCCCAGACUUGUCUCAAUCCUCAAACCAGAUUUAUGUUCUUUCCUUUCUGCAUCCAUCUCUCUGUUUCCCAGAAUAGAAAAGACUGGGGCCAGGCGUGGUGGCUCAUGCCCGUAAUCCCAGCACUUUGGGAAGCUGAGGUGGGUGGAUCUCCUGAGGUCAGGAGCUCGAGACCAGCCUGGCCAACAUGGUGAAACCCUGUCUCUACUAAAAAUACAAAAAUUAGCCAGGUGUGGUGGCACGUGCCUAUAAGCCCACCUACUUGGGAGGUUGAUGCAAGAGAAUCGCUUGAACUCAGGAGGCAGAGGUUGCAGUAAGCUGAGAUUGAGCCAUUACAUUCCAGGCUGGGCGACAAGAGCAAGACUCCAACUCAAAAAAGAAAGAAAGAAAGAAAAGAGUGGAACAGGUUUGCUGGCCAAGAAGGAAAGACCAGGCUGAAGAGACAAGACACAGAAGGGCUGCUGAUGUCAGAGGGAGGGCGGAGGAGAGUGACCAAAAGGCAGAGCAGAAGGGGACCCUUCCUCUGAGGUGGUCAUUAUGCCCAUUUUGCUGGUAAGAACUGGGUAGCAGACAGGUGACAUCCCAGGAUCAGGGUCAGGCAGCCAGGACGCUGUGAACAUGAGAUGAGGCUGACAGCUGGCCCAGGAGAGGAAAACCACCAGCCAGAUUCCAGAGACACUCCAACAAUACUCACCCCACCCGCAAGGCUCCUGCUGAUUCAGCACUUCCUGGGUGCCUGCUCUCUGUCCAAACCACAGACCGUACGGAAAAGCCCACAUAGAAAGCCCUUAGAGAUGCUAUGGAUAAUUAUCAUCUAUAGGUCAUCAUUAUCCCCAUUCUACAAUGAGGCCUCUGAUGCAGAGAGGUGAAGUCCAUGGCCCAAGGUCACACAGUAGCAAGUGAUAGAUCCCCAGCCUGGGUUGGAGGGAAGAGCGUGUGCUGGCCUGGUUCACAGUGUGUGCCUCCACCGUGAGCACACACACUACAUUGAGAAAAACCCACAGAGAACAUGUGUGUCGUGCGGGAUGGAGGGCCUGGUUCCCGGCAGCAGGGAACAGCUGUGCUGGCAGGAUCGGGUGAGAAUGUGUGUGUGAGCAGGGCUCUGACAGUGGCAAACAGUGCGUGGGAGUGCAUUGACAGCAGGGUGUGGGUAGCAGUGCCAUCACCAUGUGUCUUUCUUCUGGCAGCAGAAUGUUCUGGUCUGUGUUGAUAAACAACAGUUUGGGCAAUCGAGAGGCUGGAAGGGAAGCAGGAGGCACUGGGGGCGUUGAAGCUGACCUCACUGGGUACACACAUCUGGGUGUGGAGCACUCUGCAAACCACCUGAUGCCAUAAACAUGAAAACAGGAGAGGGGACACGCUGUGAGGAAGAGAGUGUUCUUCCUGAAAGCUGGCUGCAUGGAUGACAGCGUAAUCAACAGCUGAGGCCAGUGCAAACAUGCUGUGAUUCCCGUGGGCAGGCGGAUUCCUCAAAAGUCAGCUUCUUGGAAAAGGUGGCAGCCAGGAGCCCAUCGUGUCUCCGGACUGUAAUGAGAGCCCCAGCGUCCUGCACUCACCUCCUGGCAGACACAGUGCAAGCCUGCAAGGGCAUCUGAACCUGGGAGUCACCGAGAUUUCCUGGGACUUAGUCCCCAAACCUCAUUCCCGCAGCAGGAUCUCCCAGAAUGCCCCUUCCUGCUGCUUCCUCUCCAUUAACUGAACUCUAUGCUACCUCCAAGACCCUCUGUAUUUCUCACCUCCUCUUGGAAACCCUCCAGACCACCUUGGAAGGGCCUCAAAACUGUGUUGUUCAGAACUCCAGCUGCUCUUGUUGUCAGGAUACCACUCCCCCACAUAAACCUCACCAUGUGCAUGCUGCCUAAACAUCUGCUCUGUGCAGGACACUGGACUGGGCACAACGGAGAGAUAUGAAGACCCCUGGAGACUAGUAGCUGCUCUCUAAGACGUUACAGCUGGGUUGGGGUCCAUGGAGGGCAAAAACACCAAUGAGUGUGUGCUAAAGGUUGAGUGAGGGCUACAUGAAUGUGGCGGGGUGUCAGCGAGGAGGAGAUCACUCCUGGUUUGGAAGGAGGGAUCCAGUUAACAGGAGAGAGAGAGAGUGCCCCGCCCAGUUAGUUCAAGCUCUGAGUUCAGGGUCUUUCUGAAGCCAGCACAUGUUAUCUGCUAAGCCAAUUCCUGUGGUUCCUGACUCAGUCUCCUGACCAUGCUCUGAAAUCUUUGUUUGGGACCUGGAGGCUCUUCUUGGCCUCCCUCCCUCUGUGGAGCUGGAGGAAGCAAAGUUCGCCAGAGCCAGGCUGAUGGAGGAGGCUGGCCUCGCUCUUUCCUGUCUGCUGGCAGCAGCUCCUGCCUUCCUGUCAAGGGCCUGUUCCUCCCCAGGGAUGGUUAUUUGUUCCCGGCCCAGUGCCAUGUCCUGACCCUUUUUUGUCCACCAGAGUUUGCAGCUCCUGCUUACCCCAAAGGCCAAGAGCAGAGAGAAACACCUUAGACUGAGGAUCCUGCCAGGAUAAUCACAGAUACCUCCCCCAGGAAGGGCCGGGGGCGCUCUCUCAUCUUCCUUAGCUAGCAAACAUUUCUUGGAGAAGUCUAGCAAAACUAUGCCCCUUGCUUCUCCUCACGAGGUCCUGUCAGAAGACAGACUGGCCUCCCCUCAUCUUUGGCCUUCAUAUAUAUGUAAAGUGAUCCACCGGCCUCAGACUCCCAAAGUGUUGGGAUUACAGGUAUGAGUUACCACACUUGGCCUGGCCUUCAUAUUUCAUUUUUAUUUUUAUUUUCUGGGACAGGGUCUCAUUCUGUUACCCAGGUUGAAGUGCAGUGGCAUGAUCAUGGCACUCUGCAGCCUCGACCUCCCAAGCUCCAGCAAUCCUCCCACCUCAGUCUCCCAAAUAGCUGGGACUAUAGGCACAUGCCACCACACCUGGAUAAUUUUUGUAUUUGUGUAGAGAGGGGGUUUCGCCAUGUUGUCCAGGAUGGUCUGGAACUCCUGGCCUCAGUUGAUCUGCCUGCCUUGGCUUCCCAAAGUGCUGAGCCACCAUACCUGGCCAGCCUUCAUAUUUUAACAGGACCAAUUUUAGCACCUCACAGAGUGGCUGGAUACCCUGUUUUCAUUUGAACAAUGUCAGACAGGCCCUCACCCCAAAGCAUUUUAGCCGCCAGUCUGUGGAGGUGAUCAAAGUUGCACGAGGCGCCCUAGCUUCGGGAGGUAUUUAUAAAAGUAGAAUUUGCAUACACUUAAAAAUGGUUAAAAUGAUACAUUUUAUGCUAUGAAUAUUUCACCACAAAAAAUUUUUGGGGGGGCCAGGUGCAGUGGCUCAUACCUAUAAUCCCAACACUUUGGGAGGCUGAGGCAGGCAAAUCACCUGUGGCUGGGAUUUCGAGACCAGCCUGACUGAUAUGGUGAAAUCCUGCCUCUACUAAAAGUACAAAAAUUAGCCAGGCAUGGUGGCAGGCACCUGUAAUCCCAGCUGUGCAGGAGAGUCACAUGAACUCAGGAGUGGAGGUUGCAGUGAGCCAAGAUUGCGCCAUAGCACUCCAGCCUGUACGAGAAGAGUGAGACUCCGUCUCAGAAAAAAAAAACAAAGUUUUUUUGGAAGGAUGUGCUCGAAAAACAAUGCUCUGUUUCCAGAUGAUAGAAUUCGGGGUAUUUUACUUUCUUUUUUCUUUUUUUGAGACGGAGUCUUACUCUGUCACCCAGGCUGGAGUGCAGUGGUUUUAUCUCAGCUCACUGCAACCUCCACCUCCUGGGUUCAAGCAAUUCUUCUGCCUCAGCCUCCUGAGUAGCUGGGAUUACAGGCGCCCGCUAAUUUUUGUAUUUUUAGUAGAGAUAGGGUUUCACUGUGAUCUGCCUGCCUUGGCCUCCCUAAAGUGCUGGGAUUACAGGUUUUAGCCACCACACCCGACCCACUUUCAUUUUUAUAAUUUUUAAAUAUUAUUAAAUUUUUAAAAACAAAUGGGACUAUAUUAUUUGUUAUAAUCAGAAAGGAAAAUGCCAAGACUGGGCACAAUGGUGGGGGGCACCUGUAAUCCCAGCUACUCGGGAGGGUGAUGCAGGAGAAUCUUUUAAACCCAGGAGGCAGAGGUUGCAGUGAGCCGAGAUGGUGCUACUGUACUACAUCUUGGGUGACAGAACAAGACUCCAUCUCAAAAGAAAUAAAAAAGAAAGGAAAAUUCCCUUUCUAUUUUGAAAAAUAAAUGCUUUGACUUUUAAACAAACAAAAACCCACAACAAUUCAGCCCCCAGAGCAGCAACAACUGAAGUCAGCAUCUAGCUACCUUCUUAGCUCAGAACACUUUGAAAAAGUCCCCUCGAGAAUAUUGAAGAAAUGCAGGUUUCUCAGCCCAGUUCACUUGGCCUAGCAGCCUGCAGCGAUUCUGAGGCUAGGUAGGUUUUGGAAUCCCAGCCUCGGAAACCUAGGGGCAGAGCUGCCAGAGGAGAGGGGAAGGGAAGGAAGCUCUAGCUCCUCCAAACUGCCUCUGCACCCCACUCCCCAGCCAUUUGCAUCCGUGGCUGUUGUCAACCACUCCCUCUAAGGGCCAGGAACCAAGACAAGGUUUGUCCCUGUGCCUUUAAGUUGGAGCCUUCUUGCUUAAUAGAUGCUUUGGGGAGGCUGGGCACAGCAGCUCACACCUGUAAUCCCAGCACUUGGAGGGCUGAGGCUGAUCACCUCAGGUCGAGAGUUUGAGGCCAGCCUGACCAACAUGGAGAAACCCUGUCUCUACUAAAAAUACAAAAGUAGUCGGGCAUGGUGGCACAUGCCUGUGAUCCCAGCUACUCAGGAGGCUGAGGCAGGAGAAUCACUUGAACCUGGGGGUGGAGGUUGCAGUGAGCCACUGCACUCCAGCCUCGGCAACAAGAGCGAAACUACGUCUCUAAAUAAAUAAAUUAAUUAAAAUAAUAGAUGCUUUGGGGAAACGGGAAAUGGCAAAGGUAGCCACCUUGACGGCAGGGUGCACCAGUCUUUGGGGCUGGAGCAGACCUCUGUAGGUCACUCAGUCCAUUCCCCUGCCUCCAGGCAGCACUGGCAUCAUCCCAGCUUGCAAGUCUUUAUCUUGUUUUGAGCAUUUCGGAAGCCAGGCUCUCCACGCCCUUCCUCGGACACUCAUUCUGAUGUCUGAACUUUUUUUUUUUUUAAUUUAAAAUACUUCCUGGCAACUUUCAUUUAAAUGUCUGAACAUUUCUUGCCAGGAAGUUCUGCUUCAUGUCUAAUCUAAACUGCUGAUGCUAUGAGUUGCCACCUGUGUCUCUUGUGGUUCUGGCAGGAGACAGGAAAGUGCUGCCUGCUUUUUGCCUUCACCUAGGUCUGGAGCCAUCAAAGCCUUGAAUGUUUAAAGUCGUAACUUGUGCCAGGCACAGUGGCUCUGCCUGUAAUCCCAGCACUUUGGGAGGCCGAGGCAGCCGGAUCACCUGAGGUCAGGAGUUCCAGACUAGCCUAACCAACAUGGUGAAACCACAUCUCUACUAAAAACUACAAAAUUAGCUGGGCAUGGUGGUGUAUUCCUGUAAUCCCAGCUACUUUGGAGGUUGAGGCAGGAGAAUUACUUGAACCUGGGAGGCAGAGUUUGUAGUGAACCGAGAUUGUGCCAUUGCACUCUAGCCUGAGCUACAAGAGCAAAACUCUGUCUCAAAAAAAAAAACAACUUAACUUGCUGUGUGAUCCCAGGUAAGGCACGACUAUCCUUUUAGCCUUAGUUUCCUUGUCUGUAAAAUGAGGCCAGUGAUGCCCAUAGUGUGGGAAUUGAGAGGAUCCAUUGAAACCAUGAAUUAAUGGACAAAGCAUAAAACUCGCUGCUAACCUGAAGCUAUUAUUAUUUUUCAUAAAUAAUCACCACCCUCUCCCUGAACCAUUAUAUAAGACAAUUUCCAAUGCGGUGCUAUGCAAGAUAAUUUUAGGUGAUACAAGAACAAAUAUUUCUAAUUAAAAUUUAAUGUGGCUGGGUGUGGUGGCUCACGCCUGUAAUCCCAACACUUUGGGAGGCUGGAUCACUUGAAGUGGGCGGAUCACUUGAAGUCAGGAAUUCAAGACCAGCCUGGUCAACAUGAUGAAACCCCAUCUCUACUAAAAAUAUAAAAAUUAGCCGGGGCCAGGAGCAGUGGCUCAUGCCUGUAAUCCCAGCACUUUGGGAGGCCUAGAUAGGUAAUUCAUUUGAGGUCAGGAGCUCGAGACCAGCCUGUCUAACAUAGUGAAACCCCGUCUCCACUACAAAAAAUACAAAAAAAAAAUUAGCUGGCCUUGGUGGUACGUACCUAUAAUCCCAGCGACUGGGGAGCUUGAGGCAGGAUAAUUAUUUGAACCUGACGGGGCCUGGGGAGGGAGUGGUGGCGGAGCAACCUCCGCGUCCAGGGAGACAAGAUUUCACCCUAUCUCUUGACUUCAUGAUCCGCCCACCUUGGCCUCCCAAAGUGCUGAGAUUACAGGUGUGAGCCACCACACCCAGCCAACAUUGUUUUAAGGACAAAAUACUGCCGGGUGCGGUGGCUCAUGCCUGUAAUCCCAGCACUGUGGGAGGCUGAGGUGGGUGGAUCACGAGGUCAGGAGUUUGAGACCAGCCGGACCAAUAUGGUGAAACCCCAUCUUUAAAAAUAAAAUAAAAUAAAGACAAAAUACUGAGUUCAUAGUCCACCAGGUAGCUCUGAGGGUGGGACAGGAAUCAUGGCGGCUUGAGAAACGCAGGCACAUGGGAACAACAAAGUGAAAAAAACAGCAGGCUGCUUCCCAAGAGUGGGUAAGAGAGGCCGAGUCAGGGCUGAGAUGAGAGGCGAGGACCCCAGAGGAAGAAGGGAGACUGCAGGGCAGUGUGGAGCAGGCCUGGGGAGCGGCUGAGCAGAUGCAGCCCUCUCUGGGUUCUGGAACAGUCUGUGUCCUGUGGAGCUGUGCUGUCUCCAGUUGUAGCCAAGCUGUUGGGCAGUGCUGGGCUUCCUGUUCACAUUCAUGGUCCCCCAGGUUCAGUGCUCCCUCUACACUUACUCUCCCAUGCUGGGGGGAUUGGACAACUUUAACCCCACCUUGAAUCCCCCCUGCCGCUGUCACCCGUUGGUGGUCUGUCAGCCCAGGCUGAGCAGCUCAGCCAGUGACAGGAAACUCACAACUUCCCCGAAUCCCUCCUCCACUCUCAGUGUGGGCCUGGGCAAAGAGGCCUGGAAGACCAUGUUCUCAGAGAUGCCCUGUGUGCCAGGACCCUUUCUGGGCCCCAGAAAGGAACACAGGUGAUGAAGGUGGCGCCUGCUUAAGCAGCUCACAGCUGAACCAGGGAGACCCAAGGGGAC